rnacentral:rRNA from 1 species
GCGAUGUUUGAUCAUGGCUCAGGACGAACGCUGGCGGCGUGCCUAACACAUGCAAGUCGAACGCCUGUAGCAAUACAGGAGUGGCGCACGGGUGAGUAACGCGUGGGAACCUGCCCUGGAGUGGGGGAUAACCGAGAGAAAUUUCGGCUAAUACCGCAUACGACCUGAGGGUGAAAGAUUUAUCGCUCUUGGAGGGGCCCGCGUCGGAUUAGCUUGUUGGUGGGGUAACGGCCUACCAAGGCGACGAUGCGUAGCUGGUCUGAGAGGACGAUCAGCCACACUGGGACUGAGACACGGCCCAGACUCCUACGGGAGGCAGCAGUGGGGAAUCUUGCGCAAUGCGCGAAAGCGUGACGCAGCAACGCCGCGUGCGGGAAGAAGGUCUUCGGAUUGUAAAGCACUUUCGACGGGGACGAUGAUGACGGUACCCGUAGAAGAAGCCCCGGCUAACUUCGUGCCAGCAGCCGCGGUAAUAGCU